rnacentral:lncRNA from 1 species
AUGGAGUGGGCAUGUGCAAAUCUCCCUGCCCCUGCUCAUCCCAGGCGGCUUUGCCAGCUGUUCUCCUGCCUUUUGGACUCUCCUCUGACCCGGACUUGCCUCGUCCUGGCACAGACUCAUCCUCCGCUGGCAUCUCACCGCCUCCUCCAGCCUCUGCCAGCUCUUAGCCUGCUCGGCACCUGUGGUCCUGUGAGUAAAUAUCCCUCGCUCCCUGGGUCCAAUCCCAGCAACUUCAGCAUAUUUGGUAAUGAGUUCAUCCCUGAAAGAAAACCAAGCUCUCCUCUCCACAUUGGCUCCUUCUUUCCUCUCGGAGGUCCUCCCAGCCUGGCCCACCACCGCACGUCCCUCCUGCUCCAUCCCCCUGGUCACCCAUGCAGUCUCCAUCUCACGGCUGGGCACCUCCCGGUACUCCCCCUGCCACGCUCCUCAGAGGAUGUCCCUCCAGCAGCAUCCUUCCACUGCUGCCCUCCCAAAUCGGUUCAUCUCUUGGGUCCUUCCACCACCACCCUUGGAGCAGCCCCUUCCCUCCCAGACCUCCGCUUGUGCCGUGAUCCUCUCCUUGGCCGGACCCUGCAUGUGCUUUGCCCCACGCACAUCUCAGACCAUCCUCCAAGACCUCAGUGUAGCUACAGCCGUGCCCCCUCUGGAGCCGUGGACCCCGUGCACGCCCGUCCCUGCUCACCUGGAGCCAGAGGACAUGGCUCCACGCAGCCCCGCUCUGCCCGAUCCCGUGGGCCCGCGUGCAGCUGCCCCAGCCGACCGCUCCUGCCCGGGCACGGCAUCCCACUGCAUCCCUGUCCCGCUCCGGCCGAGCAGCUCCCCGCGAGCCGCCUGCCCCGGAGGCUUGACUUGGCCAGCUCCUCCUCCACCUCCUUCCUCUUCUGGAUGGCCUCGCUCACCUCGUUCUUCAGCCGGAAGAGCUCCUCCUCAAGGAGCAGGCGCUGUUGCUCCCCAUUCUCCAUCUCCGCCUUCAGGCGGAUCAGCUCCUGCUCUGCUGCAAACUUCUGCUGGGCUGUGCCCUCCGCCAGCUGCCGCUGCUUCUCCCGCUCCU